rnacentral:RNase_MRP_RNA from 2 species
GCCCAAGCACAAGAAUCGUAAUCGCAGCUCACGUCACCAACAAGCCGUCUCCGCCAUCCAAAUCGUACGACGCGGAUAUCUCGGACGGACGGCCUUGUCACACUCUUGCUGUGGGUGAAAGUCCCCGGAGCCUCUAUCCAUCCCUUCGUUUCUAUCUACUCCCUCUCCACGUCUACCGUCUUUUCUCUUCCGCUUCGUUGUACAUGGUCAACGGGUUACGGCGUGGUAUGAGUCUUAUCGCUUGCCUUCGCUACGAAUCAUGAGCUGUUCUUGCUGUCUUGCCUCGCGCAUUGACACAGACGGGAGAAGGGGGACUUGCACCGUUCCGAAAGGACCCGCACCCAAGCACUGCGGGAAUGAUGGCUUGUCCUACCCCUUCUCUUUCAGCUCAUGAUCAGAAGGAAAACGGACUAAUUCCCACCCGGGACCAUUCCAAACGUUGGCCGAUGGCAAAGUGGGAGAUGAGGCAAGAGACUAGCUUGACCGCUACGGAUUCUUCGUUGUAAAUUCUCCACCACUCGUACCGACGGUUUCACCCGGGUUUGUGAGAAGUGAGAGAUGGAAUCCAGGUUAUAUUAGCUUGAGGGGCUAGGUAAUUUUCGACAUUUCCCUUUGUCGUUCUACCUUUUCCACGCAGGCGAAGAUACGAGCCGCGAGGAAAAUCACAGGUAGAUGGAAAUUCGGAAGGCGGAGGGACACAACACCUUGCAUCAUCCUCGAUGGUGCAUGGACGGGUGGAUGAAAUUACGCGCUCAUAGGUCAUAGUCAUGCGAUUGUCUCGAGUCUCCUGAUUCCGUAUUCAGAAGUCGGGAGGAGAGAUAACUCGAUGGGGCUUACUCUGUGUCUUGGG